rnacentral:rRNA from 1 species
UAGUCAUAUGCUUGUCUCAAAGACUAAGCCAUGCACGUCUAAGUAUGAAUGAUAUACAGUGAAACUGCGAAUGGCUCAUUAAAACAGUUAUAGUUUAUUUGAUAAUCAAAUUUACAUGGAUAACCGUGGUAAUUCUAGAGCUAAUACAUGCUGUUAAGCCUGACUCUUGGGAAGGGCUGUAUUUAUUAGAUAACAAACCAAUAUUCCUCGUGUCUAUUGUGAUGACUCAUAAUAACUGAUCGAAUCGCAUGGACUUUGUCCGCGAUACAUCAUUCAAGUUUCUGCCCCAUCAGCUGUCGAUGGUAGUGUAUUGGACUACCAUGGCUUUAACGGGUAACGGAGGAUUAGGGUUCGAUUCCGGAGAGGGAGCCUGAGAAACGGCUACCACAUCUAAGGAAGGCAGCAGGCGCGUAAAUUACCCAAUCCUAAUUCAGGGAGGUAGUGACAAGAAAUAAAGAACUGAGGCCUUCGCUUCAGGAUCUCAAUGAGUAGAAUUUAAACCCCUUUACGAGGAUCAAUUG